GAUGAACGCUGGCGGCGUGCCUAAUACAUGCAAGUCGAGCGAACAGACGAGGAGCUUGCUCCUCUGACGUUAGCGGCGGACGGGUGAGUAACACGUGGAUAACCUACCUAUAAGACUGGGAUAACUUCGGGAAACCGGAGCUAAUACCGGAUAAUAUAUUGAACCGCAUGGUUCAAUAGUGAAAUACGGUUUUGCUGUCACUUAUAGAUGGAUCCGCGCCGCAUUAGCUAGUUGGUAAGGUAACGGCUUACCAAGGCAACGAUGCGUAGCCGACCUGAGAGGGUGACCAGCCACACUGGACCUAAGACACGGUCCAGACUCCUACGGGAGGCAGCAGUAGGGAAUCUUCCGCAAUGGGCGAAAGCCUGACGGAGCAACGCCGAGUGAGUGAUGAAGGUCUUCGGAUCGUAAAGCUCUGUUAUUAGGGAAGAACAAAUGUGUAAGUAACUAUCCACGUCUUGACGGUACCUAAUCAGAAAGCCGCGGCUAACUACGUG
rnacentral:rRNA from 1 species